rnacentral:rRNA from 1 species
AAUGAACGUUGGCGGCGUGGAUUAGGCAUGCAAGUCGCACGCUUUAUGUAGCAAUACAUGAGGAGUGGCGUAAGGGAGAGUAAUGCAUGGUUAGCUACCCUUGGGACUGGGAUAGCGGCGGGAAACUGCCGGUAAUACCAGAUGACAUCUUCGGAUCAAACGUGUGAAACGGCCCAAGGAGGUGACCAUGUCCUAUCAGCUAGUUGGCGGUGUAACGGACCACCAAGGCUAAGACGGGUAUGGGGCGUGAGAGCGUGCCCCCACUCACUGGGACUGAGACACUGCCCAGACACCUACGGGAGGCAG